GGGGGUGACUAGUGACAGAGUGAGAGAGAGGGUGACUAGUGACAGAGUGAGGAAGGGGGUGACACAGUGACAGAGUGAGGGAGGGGGUGACUAGUGACAGAGUGAAGGAGGUGGUGACUGUCACUAGUCUCCCUCACUCUGUCACUAGUCACCCCUCCCUCUCUCUGUCACUAGUCACACCCUCCCUCACUCUGUCACUAGUCACACCCUUCCUCACUGUCACUAGUCACACCCUUCCUCACUGUCACUAGUCACCCCCUCCCUCUCUCUGUCACUAGUCACACCCCCUCCCUCACUCUGUCACUAGAGUGA